GCGGGCCCGGCAAUGGCUCUCCCCGGGCGGCAGGUGCCCGCGCCGCAGAUGCAGGGAAACCGACUGACAUCAUGGGAGCGGGACAAGCGUGCGCUUUGAAGGGCUCCUGGGCAGGACUUCAAGUGAAAUCAUACGCCUGGGAGGAAUCCGAUACCGGCCUGCAGAAAGCAGCGGGGCGGCCCCUGCCAAACCCAGGAAUGUACGAGGGCCCGCGGCCGGCGCCCCCCGCCCGCCGCCCCGCAGGAGGCCGGGCAGUGCCAAGCACCCGCCGCCUCCGCGUUCCGGCAGCUCCGCGCUUCUCCGUCUCCGCGGGGCCCGGCGGCGUGGCCGGGACUGUGGCCACAGGACAGGGCACCGGGAGCUCCGCUCCACUCGGGUAAUAAACUGAACAUGCUGAUGCCUCGGAGAAAGAACUAAAAUCAGCCAGGACUUCCAAAGACAGAGUUCAUUGUCCGGUUGCAGGAGCGUUUAGAAUUCCCAAAAGACAAAAUAAUACACUAUUUUUUUUUCUUCAGUAAGCCUGACUGCCCCCAUCGCUUUCGGCUCUAACCCUGAGAGCACCCGGCCUCUGCAGUACCCAGGUACCCUUGUCCACGAAACGUGCCUUCCCCUCAUUAUCGAGGACCUCAUCUCGGUUUUGGUUUGUUUGGUAAUUGUUUUUUUGUUUUCCCCAGAACCUGUUUUCUUCCUCAAUAUGGAGCGGUUUUAUCUCUUUCUUCCCUGUGAUUUCUCCCCCAAAAGAAGCCACAGAUACCAUCCCCAAGCCAUCAGAUACCCCCAGCCCCACGACCAAAGCCCCGCUUCGUCUCCCCCCGCCCCUCGUCGCGGUACUGCAGCCGAAGUAACCGAACUAACAUUACCUCCUCCUCGGUAGCCGAGCCGCAUUGGAGCGGUGUUUUUCGAGAGGUACUAGCAGCUGAAGGGUGAACAGCGGGGACCUGCGGGCGCCGAGGAGCCAAGAGGGGGCUGCAGCCCCGAAACUCACAGAGGUCCCCUUCCUCUCCGUCACAGAGGGCCGCGACCACCAAAGCCCCCAUCCAAUUUCCAAGUCCUCGCUAAUCCGUCAGUGCAAACAAGCUCUGCGGGCUCUCUAGAGUAAACAUUGCACACUGGCCUAAAAUAUGCACGAUAUUAAAUUCAUAGCACUCUUAUGUCAGCAAUGGAUGGUAGUAUGCGGAUGGGAAGCAAAAACAGUCAGGCAAUAAAGUCAGCUCAACCUGGGCUAAGUAAACAGGCUCUGUUUUGAAAAAACACCCCAUCCUAUUUACCCAAGACACUGGCCGAAUCCCUGCAGAGGGGUCCCAGUCUCUGCGGGGAACACUGCUCGGCUCUUACGGCCUGAACGGCAGACGCCCCUGGGCACCCGCUUACCCUCCGCAAAUGCGGAAGAGGCCAGAGACGCCGUUCACCGGGCACAGACGGGCUACCAAGCGGUGGGAGAUGAGCAAGUGACAGCAGAGGCCGAAUCAGCCGUCUGCUUGUAAGCGUCGGGGUUUGAGGCUAUUUUGGGUUGGGCUGGUUCUUGGUUUGUUUUGU